AUUGAACGCUGGCGGCAGGCCUAACACAUGCAAGUCGAGCGGAGCGGCGGACGGGUGCGUAAUGCCUAGGAAUCUGCCUGGUAGUGGGGGAUAACGUCCGGCAACGGGCGCUAAUACAGCAUACUAUCAGAUGAGCCUAGGUCGGAUUGGCUAGCUGGUGGGGUAAAGGCCUACCAAGGCGACGAUCCGUAACUGGUCUGAGAGGAUGAUCAGUCACACUGGAACGGAGACACGGUCCAGACUCCUACGGGAGGCAGCAGUGGGUAAUAUUGGACAAUGGGCGAAAGCCUGAGGCAGCCAUGCCGCGUGUGUGAAGAAGGUCUUCGGGUUGUAAAGCACUUUAAGUGGGGAGGCGUUACCCACAGAAUAAGCACCGGCUAACUUCGUGCCAGCAGCCGCGGUAAUUC
rnacentral:rRNA from 1 species